rnacentral:rRNA from 1 species
GUGAGGAAUAUUGGUCAAUGGACGAGAGUCUGAACCAGCCAAGUAGCGUGAAGGAUGACUGCCCUAUGGGUUGUAAACUUCUUUUAUAAGGGAAUAAAGUGAGGGACGUGUCCCUUUUUGUAUGUACCUUAUGAAUAAGGAUCGGCUAACUCCGUGCCAGCAGCCGCGGUAAUACGGAGGAUCCAAGCGUUAUCCGGAUUUAUUGGGUUUAAAGGGAGCGUAGGUUGACAUAUAAGUCAGCUGUGAAAGUUUACGGCUCAACCGUGAAAUUGCAGUUGAUACUGUAUGUCUUGAGUGUACAAGAGGUGGGCGGAAUUCGUGGUGUAGCGGUGAAAUGCUUAGAUAUCACGAAGAACUCCAAUUGCGAAGGCAGCUCACUGGGGGACAACUGACACUGAGGCUCGAAAGUGUGGGUAUCAAACAGGAUUAGAAACCCGAGUAGUCC